rnacentral:rRNA from 1 species
AGAGUUUGAUCCUGGCUCAGGACGAACGCUGGCGGCGUGCCUAACACAUGCAAGUCGAACGGAGAAUUUUAUUUCGGUAGAAUUCUUAGUGGCGAACGGGUGAGUAACGCGUAGGCAACCUGCCCUUUAGACGGGGACAACAUUCCGAAAGGAGUGCUAAUACCGGAUGUGAUCAUUGUGCCGCAUGGCAGGAUGAAGAAAGAUGGCCUCUACAAGUAAGCUAUCGCUAAAGGAUGGGCCUGCGUCUGAUUAGCUAGUUGGUAGUGUAACGGACUACCAAGGCGAUGAUCAGUAGCCGGUCUGAGAGGAUGAACGGCCACAUUGGGACUGAGACACGGCCCAAACUCCUACGGGAGGCAGCAGUGGGGAAUCUUCCGCAAUGGACGAAAGUCUGACGGAGCAACGCCGCGUGAGUGAUGAAGGAUUUCGGUCUGUAAAGCUCUGUUGUUUAUGACGAACGUGCAGUGUGUGAACAAUGCAUUGCAAUGACGGUAGUAAACGAGGAAGCCACGGCUAACUACGUGCCAGCAGCCGCGGUAAUACGUAGGUGGCGAGCGUUGUCCGGAAUUAUUGGGCGUAAAGAGCAUGUAGGCGGCUUAAUAAGUCGAGCGUGAAAAUGCGGGGCUCAACCCCGUAUGGCGCUGGAAACUGUUAGGCUUGAGUGCAGGAGAGGAAAGGGGAAUUCCCAGUGUAGCGGUGAAAUGCGUAGAUAUUGGGAGGAACACCAGUGGCGAAGGCGCCUUUCUGGACUGUGUCUGACGCUGAGAUGCGAAAGCCAGGGUAGCGAACGGGAUUAGAUACCCCGGUAGUCCUGGCCGUAAACGAUGGGUACUAGGUGUAGGAGGUAUCGACCCCUUCUGUGCCGGAGUUAACGCAAUAAGUACCCCGCCUGGGGAGUACGGCCGCAAGGUUGAAACUCAAAGGAAUUGACGGGGGCCCGCACAAGCGGUGGAGUAUGUGGUUUAAUUCGAAGCAACGCGAAGAACCUUACCAGGGCUUGACAUCCUACUAACGAAGUAGAGAUACAUUAGGUGCCCUUCGGGGAAAGUAGAGACAGGUGGUGCAUGGUUGUCGUCAGCUCGUGUCGUGAGAUGUUGGGUUAAGU